rnacentral:rRNA from 1 species
AGGGCACCACCAGGAGUGGAGCCUGCGGCUUAAUUUGACUCAACACGGGAAAUCUCACCAGGCCCGGACACCGGAAGGAUUGACAGAUUGAGAGCUCUUUCUUGAUUCGGUGGGUGGUGGUGCAUGGCCGUUCUUAGUUGGUGGAGCGAUUUGUCUGGUUAAUUCCGAUAACGAACGAGACUCUGGCCUACUAACUAGAUGGAGGACCCCUUCGUGGGUUCUUCACUGCUUCUUAGAGGGACGGGCGGCGUUUAGCCGCACGAGAUUGAGCAAUAACAGGUCUGUGAUGCCCUUAGAUGUUCUGGGCUGCACGCGCGCUACACUGAAGGAAUCAGCGUGUCCUCCCCGCUCUGAAAAGAGUGGGUAACCCGUUGAAACUCCUUCGUGAUGGGGAUUGGAGAUUGUAAUUAUUCUCCAUGAACGAGGAAUUCCCAGUAGGCGCGAGUCAUCAGCUUGCGUCGAUUACGUCCCUGCCCUUUGUACACACCGCCCGUCGCUACUACCGAUCGAGUGAUUUAG